CUACGGGUGGCUCCAGUGAGGAAUAUUGCACAAUGGGGGAAACCCUGAUGCAGCAACGCCGCGUGGAGGAUGACGCAUUUCGGUGUGUAAACUCCUUUUAUCAGAGAAGAAAAUGACGGUAUCUGAUGAAUAAGCUCCGGCUAACUCCGUGCCAGCAGCCGCGGUAAUACGGAGGGAGCAAGCGUUAUUCGGAAUCACUGGGCGUAAAGGACGCGUAGGCGGGUUUUUAAGUCAGGUGUGAAAUCCUAUGGCUCAACCAUAGAACUGCACUUGAAACUGGGGACCUAGAGUAUGGAAGGGGCAGGUGGAAUUAGUGGUAUAGGGGUAAAAUCCGUAGAUAUCACUAGGAAUACCGAAAGCGAAGGCGACCUGCUGGGACAUUACUGACGCUGAGGCGUGAAAGCAUGGGGAGCAAACAGGAUUAGAUACCCGCGUAGUC
rnacentral:rRNA from 1 species